rnacentral:lncRNA from 1 species
AGAAGAGUUUGGUGGAGACAAGAUCUGAAACACAAAUGGAAAAUGUAAUAACCUCCUGAAAGGUAGAAGUAAAUGAUAGACUGUUUGGUGGGUAAUGAAGCUGGGUGGAACCCAGGCAGGCCUUAGGGCAAAAACUUCUCUAAGAAUAUAUCAGGAAUUACAUUCUACAGCUGCUAACAAGAACUGUGAUAUGGUGUCCUCCACAAACUGAGGGCUUAUAUUUAUCUAAUUUAGUGACAAGUCCAGAGGUAGUCAAACUGGUCUGUUACAUGGCAGCUCCCUGAUGUUGCUAGAGACCAGGCUUCUGCUCUUAGUCUCACAGAAUUGUUGUCAGAGCUCCAGCAAUCACAUUCUUGACUCAGGUAGGAAAAAAGAGGAGAAAGGGACUGAGCAAAGGAGAUCUGCUCAUUGAGACGGUACCCUUUAAAGAGUUUUCCCCAACAAUCUACCUAAUAACAUGCUUAUCUGCUAAAAACCCAAGCAAGGUAGUUUUCUGAACUGGGCACCUCCUGCCUUCCCCAGUAGUUCUGCUAAUAAGGAAUAGGGGAGGCUGGGUAGAAUCUAGUAGGCAUUGCUUUUGGAGUGAGAGGGAGCAUGACAGGUUAAUAACAUUGAAGGUAAAUCAUGUUCAUUUUAUUAUUUUAGCUAGGGUCAAAUUUUUCAGAAGCCAAAAUGAAAAUGCUGUUUUUUUGUUAAUACAAUCUAGCCCUAGACACUAUAUGGUCAAUACUAUAACAUUUCAUGCAUCCAGGUAUGGUUGAGUUAUUGGGGUCAAUAACUACAGAAAAUCCAGAAAUCACUGAAGAAUUAAGUAUUGACACUUGACUGAUUACAGAAUUCUGGAGGAGUGCAUGGCAAAUUCCUGCCUGGAGAAUCCCAUGGACAGAGGAGCUUGGUGGACUAUAGUCUAUGGAGUCACAAAGAGCUGGACUCGACUGAAGUGACUUAGCAUGCAUACUUCCUGCAUGUCAUCCAGAAUAUAUCCCAGAAGAUUUGGAGUGUGGAACACCAACUAAAUCCAGAGAGCCUCUGUGCUUGGAUUAGCUCCACUGGGCAUGAAACAAGACACCCCCCUGCCCCUCCAUGUUUUAGAAAAAUUGUGUCAAGUUUCAACAAGAAUUCUCCAGUAUUCCUGCCUGGAGAAUUCCAUGGAGAGAGGAGCCUGACAGGCCAGAGUCCAUGGGAUCGCAGUCAGACACGACUGAAUGACUCACAGAAAUUCUGUGUCACAGAAAUAACAUUCACAUGUUUAGGACAUGACAGUAAGUAUUCCCGGAUUUAUACCUGGAGCAGGUAUUUGCACCGGAUUCACCUUUCUGUUUUUCUCCCCACCACCUCCAGAUCCCCUGUCUGCUUGAUUUUGUUCUCCACACAGAUUAAAAUGCACACAUAUGCACACAUGCGUGUAUACCCACGCACUCUCCUGCUCAGCCAGAGGGAUGUAGCAGGGUCAAUAAAAUGA